UCCAGUGAUUAUUUUGGCUGCAACUACAUAUCAUCUUUGUAAAGCUAAUGGCACUAUGGCAGCCCUGGGUCUUCAAGGGGUUAACCCACAACUCCACUUUGGAUUGAGCUACAUGGCAGUAGUUGGCCAUAUUUACAGUCGUUUCCUACUGCUCCAAUUGGUUGUAGAUUUUUCACUUGGGAAGGAUUCUGAUUGGCAUAUAUCUUGAGAUUUUGGAUGCUGAUGCUGAAAUUAUUUUUCUGUUGGAGGACUUGGUGCAGAUUCAAGAACAAAGCCAUUGAAGUUCAGGAUAGGAUUAUGUUGGAGGACUUGGUGUGAUAGCUGACGUGACCAGAUUCUAGGAUCUUCAGCUAUGUGGUGAGACAGUGGGUACAAUGACAAAUUCAACGCAAGACCAUGCUGGUGGGAGACCACUGACGGGACACUAAGUGCAAGCUUAAGAGGAAAGAUAUGAUUCACAUUACUCCAUUCUGCAAGGAAACAAAAAACUUAACUGGACUGGAAUAUACUUCACGAACACUAGUCUUUGCAUUUGAUUAGGAUGGCACAUUCACUAUGUUAAACGAUUGCUAAAUUAUAUUUCAGUCUCAUUUUAAGGAUAUUUGUGAUGAGAUCUAUGAUAUUUUAUGAAUCUACAUCAUAUACUUAUGGUUUGAAUAAUAUAAUUGAAUGGAUGUACUA